UACGCGGGGGGCGAGCGUUGUUCGGAAUUAUUGGGCGUAAAGGGUGCGUAGGCGGUUUGGUAAGUCUUAUGUGAAAUCUACAGGCUCAACUUGUAGUCUGCAUGAGAAACUGCCGGGCUUGAGUAUGGGAGAGGUGAGUGGAAUUCCUGGUGUAGCGGUGAAAUGCGUAGAUAUCAGGAGGAACACCUGUGGCGAAAGCGGCUCACUGGACCAUAACUGACGCUGAUGCACGAAAGCUAGGGUAGCAAACAGG
rnacentral:rRNA from 1 species